AUUGAACGCUGGCGGCAUGCCUUACACAUGCAAGUCGAACGGCAGCACGGGAGCAAUCCUGGUGGCGAGUGGCGAACGGGUGAGUAAUAUAUCGGAACGUGCCCAGUCGUGGGGGAUAACGUAGCGAAAGCUACGCUAAUACCGCAUACGAUCUAUGGAUGAAAGCGGGGGAUCGCAAGACCUCGCGCGAUUGGAGCGGCCGAUAUCAGAUUAGGUAGUUGGUGAGGUAAAGGCUCACCAAGCCGACGAUCUGUAGCUGGUCUGAGAGGACGACCAGCCACACUGGGACUGAGACACGGCCCAGACUCCUACGGGAGGCAGCAGUGGGGAAUUUUGGACAAUGGACGCAAGUCUGAUCCAGCCAUUCCGCGUGCAGGAUGAAGGCCCUCGGGUUGUAAACUGCUUUGUACGGAACGAAAAGGUUUGUCUUAAUACGAUGAGCUCAUGACGGUACCGUAAGAAUAAGCACCGGCUAACUACGUG
rnacentral:rRNA from 1 species